UACCUGGUUGAUCCUGCCAGUAGUCAUAUGCUUGUCUCAAAGAUUAAGCCAUGCAUGUCUAAGUACAUGCCGAAACAAGGCGAAACCGCGAAUGGCUCAUUAAAUCAGUUAUGGUUCCUUAGAUCGUUUCUUCCUACUUGGAUAACUGUGGCAAUUCUAGAGCUAAUACAUGCAGUGAGCCCGAAGCCCCUCGGGGCGACGGGUGCUUUUAUUAGACCAAGAUCAAUCGGGCUUCGGUCCGUUUUGUGUGGUGACUCUGGAUAACUUUGUGCUGAUCGCACGGCCACGAGCCGGCGACGUUUCUUUCAAGUGUCUGCCUUAUCAACUGUCGAUGGUAGGUUAUGCGCCUACCAUGGUUGUUACGGGUAACGGAGAAUCAGGGUUCGAUUCCGGAGAGGGAGCCUGAGAAACGGCUACCACAUCCAAGGAAGGCAGCAGGCGCGCAAAUUACCCACUCCCGGCACGGGGAGGUAGUGACGAAAAAUAACAAUACGGGACUCUUUUGAGGCCCCGUAAUUGAAAUGAGUACACUCUAAAUCCUUUAACGAGGAUCCAUUGGAGGGCAAGUCUGGUGCCAGCAGCCGCGGUAAUUCCAGCUCCAAUAGCGUAUACUAAAGUUGCUGCGGUUAAAAAGCUCGUAGUUGGAUCUCAGUUACAGGCGGGAAGUGCGUGGACACCACGUUACGGCCCGUGCUGAACAUCAUGCCUGUCGUGGCUUGGUUCCCUUCAUCAGGUGCCUUGCUUUGGCCGGCGCGUUUACUUUGAAAAAAUUAGAGUGCUCAACGCAGGCGAUUCGCCUGAAUAACAGUGC
rnacentral:ncRNA from 1 species